rnacentral:lncRNA from 13 species
UUCUGGUUUCCCCCGGACAGCUGCCCACGCUGCGAAACCAAAGAAACAGAACAUAAACAGAGCGAAAAGAAAACAUUGCCCUCUGUCUACCUCCUACACACACACUUAUUCAAGCAAAGAUAUGCACGCACACACACACACGCACAAGCACACACACCACUGCUGGUUUCCUCAACCUUCUCCCCUUCUGGUUUCCUCAUCGUCUCAAUUGAUGGUUUCCUUACCCAAAACCCUGCAGCUUCCUUACCGUCUUCCCUGCUAGUUUUGUCGCAACACACUGCUGGUUUCCUCACCAUCUACCCAACACCCUGCUUGUUUCCUCACCAUCUACUCAACACCGUGCUUGUUUCCUCACCAUCUACCCAACACCCUGCUUGUUUCCUCAUCAUCUACUCAAGUUUCCUCACCGUCUCCCCAACACAAGCUCAUCUAACGUCGUCAUCGACAAAGGCACUGAAAACAUAUCCGCAUAGAGGUGACAUACACCACACCAAUCACAAUUAAAACAGAUUUGCAUUCUCUGUAAAUCACUAUAUGUGUUUUACUAACUAUCUGCACAUUGGCCCUCUCUAUAUAAUCAUUUUGGUUGUAGCAUCUUAAUAUUAAGUAUUCCAAGUGUUGUUGAAAAGCAGAAACUUUAAUAUUCCGUUCCUCGUGUUAUUCUGUCAUGUGAUUUUGGGUUCCACAGUUCCAUAAACAACUCAAAACAAUCCACCCGCUCAAUUACACAACGUAGGUGUCUUAAAUGGGACUCUAUGUCCUACAUAGUGCAGUGCUUUUGACCAUAGACAAAGCUAGCACACGAUGUAGUGAAAACGGAGCAAUUUGGGAUGCAACUAAAACGGAACAUUUUACUGAGGAAAAAAAAAUCACAAAAAAAAAAGUCAAAAUCAGGACCAAGGCUAGAAAUAAUAAAGAGUUUUAGUAUAAAUGUCAAUCAGCAGAAGGUCCCUUGAAGUCCUGUGUGCGUGUGUGUGUGUGUGUGUGUGUGUGUGUGUGUGUGUGUGUGUGUGUCUGUGUGUCUGUGUGUGUGUGUGUUUUGUUGUUGCAGAUGUCCCUAGCGUUCCUCUCUAUUGAGAGACCCCACAGAGAAGAGUAGAGCUGAGGUUGUGUGAGAGGUUGAAACCAGGCAACUAUACCACUCUAAUCACCCGUUCGUGUGUGUUGUACCCCUCUAAACCAGCCAGUCACCCUCCACUGCCUCCCUGUCAGACUUCUAUCUGCUACCACUUACUCAGAAAUGCAACAAAUUUACUUAUAAUGACUUCCAUUUCUCCAUGCUUGUAAAUACUUGCGUUCCGACAGUUCAUUUAUUUAGUUUGAUUGCUGCAACCUAUUUAUAGAACUGAGGGUUGUGGAGGGCUACGGGCCCUAUUCAAAAGUAGUGCACCACCUAGGGAAGAGGGUGCUAAGUAGUGCACCACCUAGGGAAUAGGGUGCUAAGUAGUGCACCAUCUAGGGAAUA